GAAUGCUGACAUAAGUAACGAUAAAGCGGGUGAAAAGCCCGCUCGCCGGAAGACCAAGGGUUCCUGUCCAACGUUAAUCGGGGCAGGGUGAGUCGACCCCUAAGGCGAGGCCGAAAGGCGUAGUCGAUGGGAAACGGGUUAAUAUUCCCGUACUUGGUGUUACUGCGAAGGGGGGACGGAGAAGGCUAUGUUGGCCGGGCGACGGUUGUCCCGGUUUAAGCGUGUAGGUGUGUGUUCCAGGUAAAUCCGGUUCACUUUAACACUGAGGCGUGAUGACGAGGCACUACGGUGCUGAAGCAACAAAUGCCCUGCUUCCAGGAAAAGCCUCUAAGCAUCAGGUAACAUCAAAUCGUACCCCAAACCGACACAGGUGGUCAGGUAGAGAAUACCAAGGCGCUUGAGAGAACUCGGGUGAAGGAACUAGGCAAAAUGGUGCCGUAACUUCGGGAGAAGGCACGCUGACACGUAGGUGAAGUGAUUUACUCAUGGAGCUGAAGUCAGUCGAAGAUACCAGCUGGCUGCAACUGUUUAUUAAAAACACAGCACUGUGCAAACACGAAAGUGGACGUAUACGGUGUGACGCCUGCCCGGUGCCGGAA
rnacentral:rRNA from 2 species